CUAGCACAGUUAACCAGAUAUGAUGAAAUAUCUGGCGCAUGCUCAGGGCCAGGCCGCGGCGGAGAAGAACGUGUUCACCUUGGUCGUUCAGAAGUUUAAGGUAGUGGGGAAGAGCUCGGCCGACAAGAUGAACCAGAAGGAAGUGUCUUGGUACUGACUCCAGUAUACGUUAGAUGCAAAAGGGUCGUCCCCUACUAAGAUCUGAGGUACGUACUACUAGUUACAAAAUUGCCCUGAGGCCAGCGCUGGAUGCUCCUGCUGACAGGGACUACACGGAUUCUGUCUGAAAUCAUGAAGAGUGGAUUGAUCUAGGAAACCAGUUGCAAGGUUAAUAUCCUGGAGGAGAGAAGGAGUCAUGUUUCUGGUACUAAAACUGAUGAGAUUAUUGUUCGAUUGGAGUCACUAGAUCCAAAAGGGUCGUCCCGAAUACGAUCUCAGCUGUUCCAUCGCCCGAAGAACUCUCACUUCAUAGGUUUACAAGAAAUUAGGUCUGUUAGGUUACUGCAAGGACUCACAUAUGUGGACAUGGAUGAUGGAUCUAGAAAGACUUGAAAUGACUUACUUCAGCGAGUAGAUGAUCAAUCCAAUGGCCACAACUGUGAAUGCUACAUAGUACAGCCAGUUUAUCUGUUGGUUUCACCUAAAUCAUGUGAGCAUGUAGUACUGCAAUAUAUUGUGACCGGGUGCAAAGAUCGGUAAGAAAUUGUCACCUGUUCUUGAUAGAACAAUACUCGAAUGGCAACUGCCCACAUGUCAGAUGUUAAUAGUGAGAGAUUAAACAAUGUUGACCCACUCAUCUGCAAGAGUGAUGAUGGUCAUCAGAAAGGGCUAAACUUGUUUUGGACUGUAAAAAUGAGAAAUGAAAGGGCCUUCUGUCUCAUAUUUUCUAAUAAGCUAGUAUCACCCAAAUAGCUUACUUUAUACUUAUUUAUUCACAUAAUUCAUAACCACUUGCAGGAACCUAUGUUUGUUGUUUUCUAGAAAGUGUAGCUUAUUUUCUGCGUAACAUGUUGGAGGGAACUUAACCUUAAGAACUAACGGAGUAAUGGUGUAGAACAUAAAUAGUGCAACGGCAAAUCCUGCGAACAAGCUUAUCUGUAAAAAAAAGAGAAAAGUAAUUAGCAGAAUUGAGUUUUAUUUCAGAAAAUUCAAAAAACUGUAUUGCAGGUAGAAGAGUUGAACCACAACUAUAGAUCACUACCAUUGUUGGAGACCAGGCAGCUGCUUCUAGGCUCUUCCUUUCGAAUAUAAAUCUGUGUUUUGUCAGGUUAAAAGGUAAAGUGAAUAUUGGCUCCAGGAGAGUAUAUAUAAGAUAUAUAUGUUCCAGAAAAGUUGUUGAUACUUUAACGAUUGAAGAACCAGAGUAAAUGUAUAGAAAGUAGUAACAAUGGAUUGUGCCAGUUUUUGUUGUUGUUGCUAGUUUGUAAUUAAUAAGGAACUGUGGAGAGUAUACAUCUGAACUGUACUGACAAGCACCCCAAAUAGUCCAAGCAUUGCAACAAGUUCUACUCGAUCAUUCUUCUUGACACAGUAUUCCUACAUAUUCAAGGAAAGAACACGUGUAUUAGAAUUUUGAGAAAAUAUUACUGGUAGUAGCAGGAUGUAUAUCAUCACCAACGGACCAACCUGCCCAACAUUGCUAAACGCAAAACAAACUGUCCCAGCAAUAACAAGGGUAUCCCCUAGAAGUGGCAUUUUACUUGGAUCUGCAGAAAAGGAAAGGUUUCUGUAAGCCGUUAACACUUGCUAGCUUCGAUGUACAAAUUGGGGAAACAUUUUCAGCUUGUCAAAAAAAUGGGGAAACAAUUUCAGCUUCUGGGUUCAUAAAGUGAGGUCUUUAUUUGAUUAACUCUGUACCAGUCAUAUUGCCAAUUUUCUAACUUAUUCAGCAGUAAAUUUGAUCUCGUAGACUAUUAUUGUACUACCAUGAUUUCUUACUGUCAAGAACUUCAUUCUGUACCUAUCUUUGGUUUAUCACUGAGAUUUUGUAACUGGCAUUUUAAUUUUACUAGUUGUUUAACUCUUAAGUAGCUACCUACUUACCUUGCUCAUUUGGAGAUUUUGCAUCUGAAAGGAGCACAAGACCUAGCCCUGCCACGCAGGUCCCCGCCCCCAGAAAUUGCCAGAAAGAAUAUCUUGUGCCUAGUGCAUACCAGGUGAGUACGAUAACCCAUACAACAGUCCAACAAUCCAACAAUGUUACGCUGGUGAUGGAGGAGUACUGGUACGCCUUGACAACUGCGAUGCAAGUUUCAGGAUUAUAACAUGUUUAUAUGUUCAUCAUUAGGGGCAAGGAUUGCAUUUAGUAUCUCGCUGAAAUGUGCAUUUCUUGUACUCACCCAGAUAGUUCCCCUGCACAUCGACAAAGGCCAGCGCUAAGUACCAAUACCAAGGUAUCUGCAAGACAAGAGAGCCCAAAACAGUGAGGUGUGAAAUCACAUCAGGUAAGCCCCAUGGUUGAUUUUCAUACACUCUGUGCUCACUCGUAGCUUCUGUCGUCGACUCAAAAGGAUUGCCCCAUAAACUAAGGCCAAAAGGAGAUAUGCGAAGAACGAUUGUGUGAGUGGCGCAUCAACUCCUGCAUAAAUAUAUGAAGUUACAUGCUUUGUCAACUGAUGAUUCCUUGUAUGUAAGAGAGGAAGUAAGAAUUAGGCCAAUGCGGAAGCUGGAUAAUUGAGUACCAAGAUAAGCAAGUGUUGAAUGAAAUGAAAAUUAAAUAUAUGGCUUAGGCUAGUGAGAGGCUGGUACCAAGAUUAGCGACGAGGGAGGAGGCAAAGCUGGCGGCGGCCAUGGAGAAGGCCACGAGCUGGCCGAGGAAGAGCACGAGCAGCAAGCUCCAUGCGUCCUUUGUCUUGAUCUCCAUGUCUCUGGCAAUCCAAGGUGCACGCAGAGCCUCAGAUGGGAUCAGAUGCAGAGGAGAGAUUUAUACGGUUGAAGAAGGAGAAAGCCGGAGCAGAUGAGUGGACUGGCAGAUGGGCCUCGUGCCUGUAAACUGAGGUAAAGUUAGCUGGGCUCGUGCAGUGAACUAUGGUUAGUUGAGAGUACCAUGUCCCUUUCAUAAACAAAUGAGGACCAGCAUGUGACCGCUCAAUUGGUUAGAUGUAAGAUGAGCAUAUAUUGUCCUAUUGCAAUACAAUAUACAGCUCGUGACUCA